rnacentral:rRNA from 1 species
AUUGAACGCUGGCGGCAGGCCUAACACAUGCAAGUCGAACGAGUGGCGGACGGGUGCGUAAUGUCUGGGCAACUGCCUGAUGGAGGGGGAUAACUACUGGAAACGGUAGCUAAUACCGCAUACCAUCGGAUGUGCCCAGAUGGGAUUAGCUAGUUGGUGGGGUAACGGCUCACCAAGGCGACGAUCCCUAGCUGGUCUGAGAGGAUGACCAGCCACACUGGAACUUAGACACGGUCCAGACUCCUACGGGAGGCAGCAGUGGGGAAUAUUGCACAAUGGGCGCAAGCCUGAUGCAGCCAUGCCGCGUGUAUGAAGAAGGCCUUCGGGUUGUAAAGUACUUUCAGCGAGGAGGCGUUACCCGCAGAAGAAGCACCGGCUAACUCCGUGCCAGCAGCCGCGGUAAUAC